UCGAUUUGGAGUUUGUUGCCUAGAGUGAUGGGCUCCGAAGCUAACGCGAUAAAUCGACCGCCUGGGGAGUACGGCCGCAAGGUUAAAACUCAAAUGAAUUGACGGGGGCCCGCACAAGCGGUGGAGCAUGUGGUUUAAUUCGAUGCAACGCGAAGAACCUUACCUGGUCUUGACAUCCACAGAAUCUUGCAGAGAUGCGAGAGUGCCUUCGGGAACUGUGAGACAGGUGCUGCAUGGCUGUCGUCAGCUCGUGUUGUGAAAUGUUGGGUUAAGUCCCGCAACGAGCGCAACCCUUAUCCUUUGUUGCCAUCGGUUUGGCCGGGAACUCAAAGGAGACUGCCGUUGAUAAAGCGGAGGAAGGUGGGGACGACGUCAAGUCAUCAUGGCCCUUACGACCAGGGCUACACACGUGCUACAAUGGCGUAUACAAAGGGAGGCGACCUCGCGAGAGCAAGCGGACCUCAUAAAGUACGUCUAAGUCCGGAUUGGAGUCUGCAACUCGACUCCAUGAAGUCGGAAUCGCUAGUAAUCGUGAAUCAGAAUGUCACGGUGAAUACGUUCCCGGGCCU
rnacentral:rRNA from 1 species